AACACUAUCUUCCUGAUCACGUGAGCGUGUUCUUGAAACGUGAUUGGUUCGUCGAUCGCCAUACUGCAACUCCGAUAGCACAUAUAGCACAUACAUUAGAGUUGAAUCUACGAAAGAAGCAAUAGGACAAUUUUUAUUGCUUUCUGGGACGAAAGUGCACUGUUUUAUACUUGCUUGCGACCUUGAGAAGGACUGUUUAAAAGCAGAAAAGUUAGUAUCUGUUCUCACGUUCCUCAAGCAUUAUUUUAUGAUUGUUUCACUGUGGCGAAUUGUUAUACGACAUGUAUUUAAUUUUCACUUGUUUUGCCUUUUGGCUUUUACAGAUACUUUGACCCAUCAAAAGCUGAGGGUCGUGCGAUGCCUUUGCGUUUAUGGACAAUAGCCUUGAGAGGGAGGAAUUAGGGGGGAACGCAAAAUCGAAAAGGUUUGUAUUUAUGAGCGACCACUUAUUUUAAUACUUGAACAGCAAUUUUAAUAGCUGUGUUCUCAUCAUUUCAAAAAGCAAGUCAUUGUUUCCUGUAAAGUCACG